GAGCGGUAGAGAGAAGCUUGCUUCUCUUGAGAGCGGCGGACGGGUGAGCAAUGCCUAGGAAUCUGCCUGGUAGUGGGGGAUAACGUUCGGAAACGGACGCUAAUACCGCAUACGUCCUACGGGAGAAAGCAGGGGACCUUCGGGCCUUGCGCUAUCAGAUGAGCCUAGGUCGGAUUAGCUAGUUGGUGAGGUAAUGGCUCACCAAGGCGACGAUCCGUAACUGGUCUGAGAGGAUGAUCAGUCACACUGGAACUGAGACACGGUCCAGACUCCUACGGGAGGCAGCAGUGGGGAAUAUUGGACAAUGGGCGAAAGCCUGAUCCAGCCAUGCCGCGUGUGUGAAGAAGGUCUUCGGAUUGUAAAGCACUUUAAGUUGGGAGGAAGGGUUGUAGAUUAAUACUCUGCAAUUUUGACGUUACCGACAGAAUAAGCACCGGCUAACUCUGUGCCAGCAGCCGCGGUAAUACAGAGGGUGCAAGCGUUAAUCGGAAUUACUGGGCGUAAAGCGCGCGUAGGUGGUUUGUUAAGUUGGAUGUGAAAUCCCCGGGCUCAACCUGGGAACUGCAUUCAAAACUGACUGACUAGAGUAUGGUAGAGGGUGGUGGAAUUUCCUGUGUAGCGGUGAAAUGCGUAGAUAUAGGAAGGAACACCAGUGGCGAAGGCGACCACCUGGACUAAUACUGACACUGAGGUGCGAAAGCGUGGGGAGCAAACAGGAUUAGAUACCCUGGUAGUCCACGCCGUAAACGAUGUCAACUAGCCGUUGGAAGCCUUGAGCUUUUAGUGGCGCAGCUAACGCAUUAAGUUGACCGCCUGGGGAGUACGGCCGCAAGGUUAAAACUCAAAUGAAUUGA
rnacentral:rRNA from 1 species